rnacentral:rRNA from 1 species
CUAACCAGUUAGCCGGCCCUACCCCGAAAACACCCUUCUAUUUUCCCCCAACUAAAACAUUCGCCAAAGAGAGUAUUAGAGAAAGAAACCUAACCCCGCGCAAUAGCCAACAGUACUACACAGGAACACUGAAAGAACAUUAAUCACUUUAAGCAUAAAACAGCAGGGCUCAAAGCCCGUACCUCUUGCAUCAUGGUUUAACUAGUCCCCCCCAGAUAAAGUGUACUAAAACCUGCCCCCCCGAACCCAGACGAUCUACCCCAGAGCAAUCAUUACGGAUGCACCCUCUCCUGUGGCAAAAGGACGGGAAGACUUUGGGGUAGCGGUGAAACGCCAAUCGCGCCUGGUGAUAGCUGGUUGCUCAAUAAAUGAAUCUAAGUUCACCCCUAGCUCAAGCCUCCCCGAGUCUUCCCACAACUGUUUCAACUAGGAGUUAUACAAACAGGGUCCAGCCUGUCUGUAACCGGAUACAACCCCNUCAUGGAGGAUCAGCAAAACCAAGACCAACCCGUAGGCCCUUAAGCAGCCACCCCAAAAAAUCGCGUCAUAGCGCCCGCAAAUAAAACAACACGCAUCCCUACACACCCCCAAUAAAAACUUGAGCCACCCUAGCCUUUUUAACCCUAGGGGAAAUGCUGUUAAAACUAGUAAUUCGAACCCCUUCUCUCCCGCACACCCCUACACCGACACGGAUCACCCCGCCGGUAAUUACCAACCCUAAACCGCACCACAACCCUGUCACCCCGACACAGGCGUGCCUCAGAGAAAGGCAAAAAGUCGCAGAAGGAACUCGGCUAACCCUGCCCCACCUGUUUACCAAAAACAUGGCCUUUAGCCAGACAAGUAUUAAAGGUCUCGCCUGCCCAGUGAUCCACUUUAAACGGCCGCGGUACUCUAACCGUGCAAAGGUAGCGUAAUCACUUGCCCCCUAAAUAGGGGCUCGUAUGAACGGCUAAAUGAGGGCCCAACUGUCUCCUGCAACAAGCCAAUGAAACUGUUCUUCCAGUACAAAAACUGGAAUACACCCACAAGACGAGAAGACCCUGUGGAGCUUUAAUUACAUUACCAAGCCUCCCGCCCAUGGUAACACCUUUAAGUUGGGGCAACUACGGAGAACUACCAAACCUCCACGAACCAAGGCCACUAAGCCUGUCUUUAAGGCCUACAAGCCAAAGACAACCCACAUAGACCCAGCACAGCUGAGCAUCGGACCAAGUUACCCCAGGGAUAACAGCGCCAUCCCCCUCAAGAGUCCCUAUCGCCAGGGGGGUUUACGACCUCGAUGUUGGAUCAGGACACCCAGGUGGUGCAGCCGCUACUAACGGUUCGUUUGUUCAACGACUAACGUCCUA